AUACUGAUCAAGCUCAUUCCAUUGUGAGUGCUCCAUGUUGCGUUCAUACUUACCCUUGCGCCACUCUUUGAAACUAAUAUGAGAUGAUGUACAACGACUCACGUCAGCCAUGGCAGAAGAAGAUGGUCCCUGAUUGCUGAUGUCCUUUGCAUAUUUAUGGUAUGCACAUUAAAUUAACAUAAAUAGGAGGCAAAAACACCAGCCACAAGUAACAUUAUUUUGAUUGUUUCGUACAUUUAAACAUCAUGCAUUAAUUUAUUUUUCUAAUUUGAUGAUCAUGAGAAAGAAUCACUCUGUGGCGUCCUGAUAUUGUGUGAUUCUGUUAACAAAUCAAAUGAAGUUCAAGAAUAUGGAGAGAGUACAACAUCCAUGUCUUUGUCAGCAUUCUCGAUCAUAGUUUGUGCUGGCACCACCUGCAUUACGUGAAGAAGCCAAGACAGUUAGCAGAUUUGCAACAUAAACUGGAAUUGAAAGGUUCUGAGGACAUUGAAAAUUCAGAUAUGGGUCAUGUCAAAGAUGUCAGAAACCUUUUUUGGAUCCACGAAGGAAUUCUCGUCCAUUACGUUAGAGGAUGUGAGCGCACCUUUUGUUGAUCCAGACAAUCAUGAGUAUCCAUCAAUGGAAACUUUGAGAUUCACUUCGCUGUUCCCAAAAUUCACACUUGGAAAAGGAUUCAAACUUGCAGCAUUGACCAAAAAAAGGAUAAAAACUUAAAAUUGGUGUUUAGGCCAUGAUCCCUGCAAGCUAUGCUGG